GCAUGGCUUUUCUGCCCAAAACCAGUUCCACAGAGUCUUCUAUCCUGGAGAUAAUUGAAUUACUUCCCAAUUAUCUCUAUGAUAGAAGACUCUGUGGAACUGGUUUUGGGCAGAAAAGCCAUGCUUCCUUU